UUGGAAAUGGCGGAGAGCAGAGACCACAGCGACAACUUGGGCUUGCAAAACGCGAGUGCGCCGUCAUUGAAACGCUAGGAAACCGCCCCGCGAGUGAUUUGCCUCCCCCCCGGAGUGAAUGACGCUCCGCUUCUUGCCCGCGGGGGACACAACGGUCGUCGGACGCGGUGCAGGAAAAACGGGGGGAUUUUGUUUUGGUGAAGCGGCAGGUUUUGGAUUUUUUUUUUUUAGCAAGGUGGGUUAGCUAGGCUAGGCUAAGCGUGCUAGCAGCUCGGCGCUAGCUCACCUCUCGCGUCGUGGUGGUGGUGGUGUGUUUUUUUACCCACGCAGGCUUGUUUGUCAACAUUAGCCGACGCUAAAUUCGCCAGCGGAGCUUGACUAACGCAGCAACUUUUUGCUCGGGCUUCCCUGCGCGUGUUGUUGACGCAGCGGCUGACCUCAACGUUGGACCCCCCUCCCUCAAAAAAGAGGAUUGUUUAUGGAAUUUUAAAAAAGAAAAGAAAGUCAAAACAUCUCUGGCCACCUUUGCUAAAUUAAGUUAAUCUGGUUAGCUGGGUUAGCUUAGCUGACUGUGGCUAACUGUGUUGACGCUCGGGCUAAGCUGCUGUUUUUGCUAUUAUCGUCCAGCGUGGAUCGAUUAUCAGGGGACACCAAACGGACAACAACACAGAAAUUGAACUCCCCACAUGUGCUUGAAAGAAGCGACGGGGGAAUUGCUUUUUUUCCAGCAGGUGUGGGGCCCUCGGUGAGCACAGUCCGGGCGGAUCAGAGUCGUCAUAAAUCAGAGUGUGUAGCCACCGCACAGCGUUUCAGUCAGUCAGGGUUGCAGAUCCGCUCAGAUACCGUGCAGCGGGACGUGCAGGAGCGCUUGUUUCCGCAAAGCUGAGACAAGAUUGGCUGUCGGUGCAGCCUGCGUAGCACGGUCUGAGGUUUUUGUCCCUCAGCUCUGCUGCUCUGACUCACGUUAACACACACAUGCAUAUACAUGUGUAUGGUCUUCAGCUGCUGUGAGCGAGUGAAUGCGGGGAAGAAGAGAAGAGCGGCGCUGCCUUCCUGCUGUCAGAGCCGUGGCCUACAUUCUCGCCUGGA